rnacentral:rRNA from 1 species
UAUUCUGGUGUCCUAGGCGUAGAGGAACCACACCAUCUUCCAACUUGGUGGUUAAACUCUACUGCGGUGAUGAUACUGUAGGGGAGACCCUAUGGGAAAAUAGCUCAACGCCAGAAU